rnacentral:lncRNA from 1 species
UUAAGGUGAUGCAUCCAACUUGGCUAGCUUACGUCUUUUCUACCUUCUUUCUGCAAAAAAAUUGUACUAUGAUUCCCUGUAGUGACCUUUAAUUGCCCCCAUUAGUCACCCCCCACUUUUUUGAAUUGGUCCAGCCAUCCCACUAAGUGACAAACCAAUCUCUCUCUCUCUCUCUCUCUCUCUCUCUCUUAGGGUUUGUUUCUUUGAAAGUAAUAAUGGGCUGGAAAAGCAAAAAACAUCUCUAUCAUUUUCCCUCUCUUUCCAGGGUUAGAAAAUCCUAAUUAUGUUUCUGGGAAAAAUUAGGGUUUGAGAAAAUUAUGAUAAUCUUUUAAUUUCCUAAUAAUUCUCAAGGUGAUUCUGUGCAUGUGACUGUGGAUGGUCUCUCCCUUAAAGGUUUUUUUUUUUUCCUUUUACCCCCCUUCUCUAGGGUUCCUCAUUCUGCAUUUCUGCUGGUGGAUUUUUUUUUUUCAACUUAAAGAAGUAUUGAGUGGAAAUAAUUUUCAAUAAAAUUCUGAAUUUUGUGUUCUGUUUAACCAUCUCUGUCUCGUUAGUUCUCUUUGGUAUGGAAAUUAAUAUUUUUUUGUUUGUUCUGAGAAACGG